AUGAAUAGUGAUAGAAAACGUCUGCCACCGCGCGUAAUUACAGCGCCCCGCCAAGGGCAUUUUCGUCAUUUCGCGUCCUAUGGUAUAAAAAGGGCCCGCUCCUAUUGCGCGACCUCCUCCCGCACUCGCUCUCUCUCUCUCUCUCUCCACACCCUAACCCGCCUCUCUGCCCCGCCGCCGGCCGCCGCCGCCGCGGUCGCUCGCCCAGGCACCCAUCCCGCACUCGCGCCGCCGCCGUUGCCCCCUCUCCUCUUCCUUCCGCUCGGCCCGCGCCUCCCUGCCCCGCUGCCGUCCAGGGCCAGCCCCACACUGCUGCAUCCUCUUCCUUCCACUCGUCCCCACAGCGACGGCAGCAAGGACGGCGCGCUGCGCCCGCCCCCUCCACUCCACCAGAGGUGCCCCUCUCCGCCCCCGUCCUCCUCGCGCUCGAGGACCCCCGGUCGCCCUCGGCCCCGGCGUCCUACCGCGUCCUGCUCGCCGUCCUCGCCUGCGUUGCCCUCGCGGGAGAAGCAGCAGCCGAAAAUCGAUGACGCCGACCCCCUCCUCCACGGCAGCGCCUUCGUCCCCGACGACACCCAGCAGCAGCCCACUCCCGCUCAAUUUCUUGCUUCUUGUGACUUCUAUUGCCUGAGUGAUUUCUCACAUGGUUUCUCUAUUGAUUUGCAACAUGGUUCAAAGGCUGUUCUGAGCAUGUCAAGGCUGAAGUGUGCACUUCCGAGGUUUGAUUUAUGGGCCCUUUUGUUCCUGCUGAUUGGUGUGCCGAUUAUAAUCAUAUAUGUACAUGGCCAGAAGAUCAAGAAACAUCUUAAUUUCUCAGCCUCCAUGGACACGGCCGAGAUCCUUGACCAUUGCUCAUCGGGACAUGUGCCAUCUAGCACCAAAAACCCUUGUUUAGCUGUUCAGGGCCUUUAA
rnacentral:rRNA from 1 species